rnacentral:rRNA from 1 species
GACGAACGCUGGCGGCGUGCUUAACACAUGCAAGUCGAACGAAAAGAGGGAAAGAGCUUGCUCUUUCCGGAAUUGGGUGGCAAACGGGUGAGUAACACGUAAACAACCUGCCUUCAGGAUGGGGACAACAGACGGAAACGACUGCUAAUACCGAAUAAGUUCCAAGAGCCGCAUGGCCCAUGGAAGAAAAGGUGGCCUCUACCUGUAAUCUAUCGCCUGAAGAGGGGUUUGCGUCUGAUUAGCUGGUUUGGGGGGGAACGGCCCGCCAAGGGGACGAUCAGUAGCCCGUCUGGGAGGAUGGACGGCCCAACUGGGACUGGGACACGGUCCAGGCUCCUACGGGGGGCAGCCGUGGGGGAACUUCCGCCAUGGGCGGAAGCCUGACGGAGCAACGCCGCGUGAGUGAUGACGGCCUUCGGGUUGUAAAACUCUGUUAUCCGGGACGAAAAGGCAGAGUGCGAAGAACAAACUGCAUUGACGGUACCGGAAAAGCAAGCCACGGCUAACUACGUG